CUAUAAUGUAGCUGAUAACAAAGGGUAGCUUACAGCAACCAAUUCCUUUCAAAUCAGUGGCUGUGAGGGAGAGAGGAUAUGAGAAAAGGAAGACAUUUUAGAGUUUUGAAACAAGACCCUUGCUUUGCUGACAAAGGACAGGGAUACAGUACAUACGUUCCUGAUUGGGUGCUGGCGGGCACCAUGAGGCUCACCGUACCGUUGCCUGCACCGCCCCCAGUCACCAUGGAGAUGUUGGCAGGGAAGGAAGAAUUGAAUCUGCGAUCGUUGGUGGCUCGGACGGUAAAGGUUCCUUCGGUUCUGCAGGCCGUUUCUACGAUGAAGGGGACUGAAAUGGUGGUAAACUAUGGACGAAACAGAGCUGAGACUCUGAUGGGUUAAGUAGAGGUAGUAUCGAUACGUGAGGCCUCAAGGCUCUGUUGGUACAGUCCUGUCUGCUGUCUCUCCAGUUUUUAGUCUUGGUCAAGAUGUAGUACCAACCUUCAAAAUCAUCUCUCUUCCUCUGUAACUGGUCUCUCUCUUUAGUCAAGAUGUUGUAGCUUGUCUGUAGCUGGUCUCUCUCUUUAGUCAGGGUGUUGUAACUGGUUUGUAGCUUGCCUCUCCCUUCAGUUAAGUUGUUGUAGCUUGUCUGUAGCUGGUCUCUCUCUUUAGUCAGGGUGUUAUAACUUAUUUGUAGCUGGUCUCUCUCUUUAGUCAGGGUGUUGUAACUGGUUUGUAGCUUGUCUCUCUUUUCAGUUAAAUUGUUGUAACUGGUUUGCAGCUGGUCUCUCUCUUUAGUCAGGGUGUUGUAACUGGUUUGUAGCUUGUCUCUCUCUUCAGUUAAGUUGUUAUAACUGGUCUGUAGCUGGUCUCUCUCUGGUCAGGUGGUCUUAGCUAGUCUGUAGCUGGUCUCUCUCUCUUCAGUAAGGGUGUUGUAACUGUUAUGUAGCUGGCCAUUCUUUUGACCCUGUUGUAGGUGGGGAUUUGUGGAACAGAAACAGUAACAUGUCAUGUCUGGUUAUACAGUAACAUGUCCUGGCUGGUUAUACAGUAACAUGUCCUGGCUGGUUAUACAGUAACAUGUCCUGGCUGGUUAUACAGUAACAUGUCCUGGCUGGUUAUACAGUAACAUGUCCUGGCUGGUUAUACAGUGACAUGUCCUGGCUGGUUAUACAGUAACAUGUCCUGGCUGGUUAUACAGUAACAUGUCCUGGCUGGUUAUACAGUUACAUGUCCUGGCUGGUUAUACAGUAACAUGUCCUGGCUGGUUAUACAGUAACAUGUCCUGGCUGGUUAUACAGUAACAUGUCCUGGUUGGUUAUACAGUAACAUGUCCUGGCUGGUUAUACAGUUACAUGUCCUGGCUGGUUAUACAGUAACAUGUCCUGGCUGGUUAUACAGUAACAUGUCCUGGCUGGUUAGUGUUGGGACACCUUCUUCCCACCUUUUUUUCCUGAUUCCUGAGUAAUUUCCUGGUCUUCUGGGGUAAGUUCCACCCGCAUACUGUGAAGCAACACAAACAUAUGCACAGACACAUGCAUACACACACACGAUAACAUACCACAAUCCUCUCCUACAUUCUCUCAGGAACUAAUGAGGACCCAUAAUAAAUGCAAAUACAAAUACAUACACCAGACACACACCCUCUUAUAUGAUCUCUUACUACUCUAUAUCGCUGAUUAAGAUAUUGGAUGUAUACAUCUUAAUAAUGUCUCUGGAUGAUUUAAAUAACUAAUAACCUUUGUUUAAAUAUUAUUAGAAAUCUGUCAAAUAUUCUGAGCGUUUGGGGCUAUUCUAUUGCUUCUAUUAAGCCAGGCAAUCUCAACCAAGCACAGCUAAAGUAUUUGGGUCAUAUUCAUUAGGAACCAAAUGUAAGAUAGCAAACUGAAACAGGGAGGGACUAACUGUACCUGUCCAAUAAGAAUAAAGUGUUUUGUUUUGCCGUUGUAAAACAUUUUACGAUGGUGUGCCCUAAUGAAUAUGUGGCACAGGUCUGCUAAUAACCACCAACCAUAGACAGACAGACAGACAGACAGACAGAAAGACAGGAAGCUGUUAUUAAAGGAAGUUAGUGGUAUGGCUAAAUAUGAGUUGGCACAGCAACACAUGUUGAAAUCAACUGAAAUACAAUAGGUGAUCCAGCAAAAACAUCCCUAAACUCUGUGUCCCAAAUUGAACCCUUUUUCCUACAUAGUGAUGGACCCUGGUCAAAAGUAGUUCACUAUACAGGGAAUAGGGUGACAAUUGAGACGUAUCCUUAAUGUCAUUAUUCACAUUCUAUGUAGGUAUUAUGUACUGCCUCUGUCCUGAAAACACAGGCCACAAAUCAAAAACAGACUGUGUUGCGGACAGCCAUGAUCCCUCUGAACUAAGCGGCCGCGCACUUCCUCCAGGACUGCUGCACAGAAGAAACGCCAUGCUACACAGAGGUGGAAGAGAUUGAACUUCACUGAGUUCAACCCCAUUAGUUUGCACUAUAUAGAUCAAUGUUUUAUCAGGGAUCGAAUCAAUAUUAUGUCAGCCUAUUUACAAUGCAACAAAACAUAACAAAUCAAAUUGUCCAAGAUUGAGUCUGUGAUUUUGUUGUUGGCAGAGCCACAGCACAACGGAGUAGAAUUUAAUUGGCAGGGGGUUGCGCAAGACUGGUCUUUCAAUCACCCAGGAGUGAACGCGCUUUUCACAUCAGUUCAGAUCAGAGCGGCUCGUGUGCACAUUUGUUGAUAUUCUUUGCUAGUUUACGAGUUAUUAGCCCAGUUAUACAUUAGUAUGGGUAUAGGAGCACAAAACGAGGAGCCUACACUUCAAGCUGUCUUUGAAAAGCCAGUCAGGUAAAAAGCUUAUGUCUUAAUUAAAGGGGCGAUGUUGUAUUUUGAGACAGGUUUGAAUAUGUAAAUACGUUUAUAGGCAGAGGCGUAGCCUACAUAGUCUAAUUCUCUGUAUGGUAAUAACACAUUUUAUUUUGUAGAGUGGUGUCUGGCAUAAUACAAUACAAUACCAUUUACAGUCACCUAUUUGGCCCAUGAUGUUACAGACCAAAUAAAAAAUUAUGAAUGAAUGUCAAUAUCUUCAUAAUGUAAAACGUUUUAAAAGUCUCCUGCAAUGUAUGCCUGCAUUGAGCACCACAUAUAGGCUACUGUAGGCUAUAUCAUAGAAAUCAAAAGCUAUUUCCUGUCACGUCCUGAUCUGUUUCACCUGUUCUCAGCUCCACUGGUGCUUGGUGUUGUCAUUGGUAACCUACAUGUUGUCCCUUGUACAGUGAAGGUUGUGAGUCAUUCUCACCUUUCAUUAGCAUUGUUGUGUGUGUGUGUGUGUGUGUGUGUGUGUGUGUGUGUGUGUGUGUGUGUGUGUGUGUGUGUGUGUGUGUGUGUGUGUGUGUGUGUGUGUGUGUGUGUGUGUGUGCCAUCUCAGCACUGUUCUGCCCUCUGUGUGUCGAGGUCACACUGUUUUAAGUAUCCAAUCACAUUCAAUCAGGAAGCUGGUCGACCUUGUUAAAGAACAUUGUUCCUUUAUUUAUUGAUCUGUGACUUUGUUAUUCUUAUUAUUAAAGUGAUGAUCACACGUUAAUAAUUGGACCCACUUUCUUUUUACUAAGCAUAAGCCUACUGCAAAUCACAUGACAUGUUUCUAAUAAAAAUAAGUAUGUCUACAUACUCUCCUCUAAAUCUAAACACAACUAUUAUUUGUCUUCCUCAUUCUCUUAAUUGUCUUCUUCCUCCUCUGUCUCUAUCUCCUCUCCUCCUUUCAACCCUAUUAGGAGAUGGUCCAAGGUCCCUCCCCGGGAUUGUAUUAUCCAAUGUCUUGAGACAGAGUGUGUACUACCACUAUUUCACCUCUAUGGUGAAUUCAUCUCUCACUUUAACCACUAGGUGAAAGCAUCACUAAACCCAGGACUGCCCAACCCUCCUCCAGGAGAUCUACCAUCAUGUGUGUUUUCAGUCCAAACCUUAUUUAUCACACAUGGUUCUACUAAUUAGCUGCUCAACAAGACCUUAACUGGCUGAAUCAGAUAUGCUAAAUUAGGUUUGGACUGAAAACCUACAGAACAGUUAUCAAUCAACAUAAUAAUUAUGAGAGAGAGAGAGAGAGACUCUGUUUGUUUCACAGCUUUCUCACAGAUCCAGUUAUGAUAUUUGUGACAAUUGUCAUCAUUCCAUGUCUCUACAUGGUCAUCUUGUCCAGAGUAUAUCUCAACACAGUCCUCCUGUCCAGGGAAUGGGACUUGCUAUUUGUGAUGAUGGACAGGACACUAUCAUACCAGGAAGAUAUAGAUCAUAGAGGGGAAGUGGAGAACAAAGACUAGCUGUUAACAUAUAUUAAAUAUCAUAUGUAACAGCCCCAAGAUAAUUCAGGGAGUUUCCAGAACUCCUCCUUCCUUUCACCUUUCUGCUGAUUUGGACCCUCUGUUUACUCCCAAAUAUACAUCAACAUGUUCAGGAGGUCCAGAACUACAAACAUGGGUCAUUAUAAUGUCCAGACAAUAGAUGUGACACUACAAACUGCUCCAAGUGGAUAUUGAGGGUGGGUAGUUUUAACCAGAGAGGAUGAACAUGAUUGGUUGAUAAUUUUGAGUGACAGCUGGUUGAACCACUGAAAAUAUCCACUUCCCCUCCCUCUUUUGGGACCAUAUAGGGGAGCAGUCAAAUAGAGCAUUUGUUAUUGUGCUUAUAUGUAACUUGACAACAAAGACCGACUGUCAAAGAUUAUUAGGUAACAUCCUUUGAUAUCUCUACUACACUCAUUGAUUGGUGAUACAGUCACCUCCUAUACAGUGUAUGUAAUGGUGGUUUGGUACUGUUGAGAAUGUCAUCACCAGGCCUAAAUUGGAGCAUGUAAAUAUCUGUUGAAUAUAUUUCAAUUGGAAAUUAUGUGUAUGCUCAAUGUAAACUGUACUGACUUCAUGUUGAACUACAAACAAAUACAACAAUAUGUGUAUGCAUGUGUGUAUGUGCAGGUGUGAGUGUGUGUGAGAGAAAGACAGAGAGAGAGAGAAUGAAGGAGGAAGUUGUGCACAUUGAAGGCUGCUGUAUGUGUUUGCCAUCACCAUUAUCAGGCUGAUGUGGAGACCAGCACCUACAGGGUUAACAACAGUCAGAUAUCAUGGUUAAUACCAGUACCUACAGGGUUAAUAACAGUCAGAUAUCAUGGUUAAUACCAGUACCUACAGGGUUAAAAACAGUCAGAUAUCAUGGUUAAUACCAGUACCUACAGGGUUAAAAACAGUCAGAUAUCAUGGUUAAUACCAGUACCUACAGGGUUAAAAACAGUCAGAUAUCAUGGUUAACACCAGUACCUACAGGGUUAAAAACAGUCAGAUAUCAUGGUUAAUACCAGUACCUACAGGGUUAAAAACAGUCAGAUAUCAUGGUUAAUAUCAGUACCUACAGGGUUAAAAACAGUCAGAUAUCAUGGUUAAUACCAGUACCUACAGGGUUAACAACAGUCAGAUAUCAUGGUUAAUACCAGUACCUACAGGGUUAAAAACAGUCAGAUAUCAUGGUUAAUACCAGUACCUACAGGGUUAACAACAGUCAGAUAUCAUGGUUAAUACCAGUACCUACAGGGUUAACAACAGUCAGAUAUCAUGGUUAAUACCAGUACCUACAGGGUUAAUAACAGUCAGAUAUCAUGGUUAAUACCAGUACCCACAGGGUUAAUAACAGUCAGAUAUCAUGGUUAAUACCAGUACCUACAGGGUUAAUAACAGUCAGAUAUCAUGGUUAUUACCAGUACCUACAGGGUUAAUAACAGUCAGAUAUCAUGGUUAAUACCAGUACCUACAGGGUUAAUAACAGUCAGAUAUCAUGGUUAAUACCAGUACCUACAGGGUUAAUAACAGUCAGAUAUCAUGGUUAAUACCAGUACCUACAGGGUUAAUAACAGUCAGAUAUCAUGGUUAAUACCAGUACCUACAGGGUUAAUAACAGUCAGAUAUCAUGGUUAAUACCAGUACCUACAGGGUUAAAAACAGUCAGAUAUCAUGGUUAAUACCAGUACCUACAGGGUUAAUAACAGUCAGAUAUCAUGGUUAAUACCAGUACCUACAGGGUUAAUAACAGUCAGAUAUCAUGGUUAAUACCAGUACCUACAGGAUUAAUAACAGUCAGAUAUCAUGGUUAAUACCAGUACCUACAGGGUUAAUAACAGUCAGAUAUCAUGGUUAAUACCAGUACCUACAGGGUUAAUAACAGUCGGAUAUCAUGGUUAAUACCAGUACCUACAGGGUUCAAAACAGUCAGAUAUCAUGGUUAAUACCAGUACCUACAGGGUUAAUAACAGUCAGAUAUCAUGGUUAAUACCAGUACCUACAGGGUUAAUAACAGUCAGAUAUCAUGGUUAAUACCAGUACCUACAGGGUUAAUAACAGUCAGAUAUCAUGGUUAAUACCAGUACCUACAGGGUUAAUAACAGUCAGAUAUCAUGGUUAAUACCAGUACCUACAGGGUUAAUAACAGUCAGAUAUCAUGGUUAAUACCAGUACCUACAGGGUUAACAACAGUCAGAUAUCAUGGUUAAUACCAGUACCUACAGGGUUAAAAACUAUAAGACAUCACAGUUAGAACAUCACAAUCCCUAAUAAUAUACAGACAUGUUUCAUUUUACAGUUAACUUUGUUGAUUGCUGCCAUCAGUGACAAUAACCUGUAUAGAAAAUGUUUGAAUGGAGCCUUAUUGACAGAUUAGUUAUCAUCUCUCACCCUGUGGUCAGUGGGGUGCCGUCCACCCAUUUCCAGGUCCCCUCAAUAACAGAGUCAGUCAGACCAAUCCAGACUCUCUUCUUGAGGUUGAAGAGAAAUGUCUUUCAUUGAGAAAGAUAAAUAUAUACAGUAAAUAUAUUUAAGUACAGUAUAUGCAUGAUCAUAUCUAUCUCUCUCUCUCUAUCUAAUCACCAGGUCUGCUCUCCUUCCAGGUUUUAGUCUCAGUAGACAGGAAGUACCAACUGGAUUUUAACUUCUGCCAGCCUUCAGGACAGAGCAAACGACCAUGCAGACAACCGUCUGUGGAGAUCGGUGGACAAAGGGCUGGACAACGGGCCACACCCAUAAAACACAAUGGUUCCCAUGAAAGCGGACACCACAAUCGAUGGGGACGCAGAGCAGUACCAUUCUGCUCAUCUGAUGAAGGUGCACGUGAAUCCCUAUCACUCAUUAUUUGCAGAGACAGAUACUUGUAUUUUUUAUUUAACUAGGCAAGUCAUUUAAGAACAAAUUCUUAUUUACAAUGAUGUCCUAGGAACAGUGGGUUAACUGCCUUGUUCAGGUACAGAACAACAGAUUUUUACCUUGUCAGCUCAGGGAUUUGAUUCAACAACCUUCCGGUUACUGGCCCAACGCUCUAACCACUAGACUACAUGCCGCCCCAACUGGGAUGGAUCCCGAGGCAAAUGUGGCUGACCAGUGAACCUCCAGGUGUUCAUCAUUAAUACUGUAACCAAGACUGAUGCAACCCGGAAAAACAUUCAAGACAGAGUUAAUGAGUUCUUGAGGUCACUGAGAAUGUCUUGACAUGGCCUGCUCUCCCUUAUGUAAGGAAUUAAGCAUCUUUGCCAUAUUUACUAUGUACUGUGGGCUAUGUUUACUAUGUACUGUGGGCUAUGUUUACUAUGUACUGUGGGCCAUGUUUACUAUGUACUGUGGGCCAUGUUUACUAUGUACUGUGGGCCAUGUUUACUAUGUACUGUGGGCUAUGUUUACUAUGUACUGUGGGCUAUGUUUACUAUGUACUGUGGGCUAUGUUUACUAUGUACUGUGGGCUAUGUUUACUAUGUACUGUGGGCUAUGUUCACUAUGUACUGUGGGCUAUGUUUACUUGUCAGACUGCACAGUAGCUUAUUAAACGUGUGCAUUUUGAAAUAGUAAAAAAUUAAAUAAUAAUCAAUAACAUGUUUCUACCACAGUGUGUUUCUGGUUGAUGGCCAAUAUUAAGUACAGUCAAAUGCAUUUGUGAAUUAAAUCCCUUUAUUGUUAAUUAA